rnacentral:rRNA from 1 species
UGCAGUCGAACGGUAACAGGCCGCAAGGUGCUGACGAGUGGCGAACGGGUGAGUAAUGCAUCGGAACGUGCCCAGUCGUGGGGGAUAACGCAGCGAAAGCUGUGCUAAUACCGCAUACGAUCUAUGGAUGAAAGCGGGGGACCGUAAGGCCUCGCGCGAUUGGAGCGGCCGAUGUCAGAUUAGGUAGUUGGUGGGGUAAAGGCCCACCAAGCCAACGAUCUGUAGCUGGUCUGAGAGGACGACCAGCCACACUGGGACUGAGACACGGCCCAGACUCCUACGGGAGGCAGCAGUGGGGAAUUUUGGACAAUGGGCGCAAGCCUGAUCCAGCAAUGCCGCGUGCAGGAAGAAGGCCUUCGGGUUGUAAACUGCUUUUGUACGGAACGAAACGGUCUGGGUUAAUACCCUGGGCUAAUGACGGUACCGUAAGAAUAAGCACCGGCUAACUACGUGCCAGCAGCC